rnacentral:tRNA from 1 species
GAGAUUCUAGUAUAAACAGAACAUUACUUUGUCAAGGUAAAAGUGUGGAAUAAAAUCCACGAAUCUUA